GACGAACGCUGGCGGCGUGCUUAACACAUGCAAGUCGAACGGAAAGGCCCUGCUUGCAGGGUACUCGAGUGGCGAACGGGUGAGUAACACGUGGGUGAUCUGCCCCGCACUUCGGGAUAAGCCUGGGCAACUGGGUCUAAUACCGGAUAGGAGCCAUUUUUAGUGUGAUGGUUGGAAAGUUUUUCGGUGUAGGAUGAGCUCGCGGCCUAUCAGCUUGUUGGUGGGGUCAUGGCCUACCAAGGCGGCGACGGGUAGCCGGCCUGAGAGGGUGGACGGCCACAUUGGGACUGAGAUACGGCCCAGACACCUACGGGAGGCAGAAGUGGGGAAGAUUGCACAAUGGGCGCAAGCCUGAUGCAGCGACGCCGCGUGGGGGAUGACGGCCUUCGGGUUGUAAACUCCUUUCGCUAGGGACGAAGCUUUUUGUGACGGUACCUAGAUAAGAAGCACCGGCUAACUACGUG
rnacentral:rRNA from 1 species